AAAUUCUUAGUAUAUAUUUUAGUAUAUUUAAUUGCAAAUUAAAAGGAAAAGAAUUUU
rnacentral:tRNA from 1 species